CUCAAAAGAUAAAAGAAGUAUUGUCAAUCUCUUUAUACCGCAAGCUCAAAGUACUAUUUGUAUAAAUAAAAAACUCAUUUAUUACUACAUGAUUUCUUCUUUAAAAAGUAGCAGAAUAAAGAAUCCGGCAAUGAGGUGAUCUUUACAUUGAAUAUUGAAAUGGUAUAUACAAAGUUCAUGAACAAGAGUUAAAAAGCGAAACAGAUUACGCCACCAGCAUCUUAAUUGUACUAGACAAUAAAUUAUGACCUUGUUAAUAUGAAUCUUCAAGCCUGAGUUUGUUUUUAUGUCCAUUCUUUGCCGCCUUUAAUUUGAUCUCGUAAGAACCUAUUCCUUAGUUAAAACUACAUUGUCUGGUAGAUGUUUGAUAAAAUUCUCGAAAGAACUUGGGAUAUUUUCUUCAUAGUAUAGAUCCCCCUUUUCUGGAAGGUACAAAAUUUAGGAAGUAGGUUAAUAACUUGAAGUAUUUGAAGUUUAUCUGUAUAAAAACAACACAAUUAUUAUUGUUGAGUUAUUCACGUAAUUGAAUUGACUACAUUUAAGUGCAUAAAUUUGUUCUACAUAAAUGGAAAAUGUAGCAUUUAGCUCUAGAAUGGUUUAAACGUUCUUUUUCUAUGCACUGGCUUGAACAGGCUAAAUUUGAUGCAAUUUGUUUGUCAUACAUUUUUAAGGAAUUGCAUAUUUAACUGCUCUCACGCCAAAGUAUCGGGAUGUUACUCAUUUGCUGAUCAUCUUUACUGUCGAUUUGGCUUCACAGGAAUAGUUUAUUCAUUGAAGACAUUCUUCUUCGCCAAAGUUCGUGUGCAUAUACCUAAACUGAGCUGCCUUAAAUUUCUCUUUAUUAUCUCUCGUUGAAGGUUUAAUGUAUCACUUGCAUAAAUUUUAGAUAUUUCCUGUCUUUUGCUGUCACCCAUGCUAGCAGGUGAUGAAAUCUUAGAACCAGAUGAUGAAAAUUACUAAAUAUCGCCAUCAUUUAACAUGGGUUGGUAAGUUGGAAAGAAGAAUGAUAGAUUGCUGCAUAUGGGCUAAAGGAGGUGAUGGUGGCAACGGGUGUGCCAGUAUUUUUCCUAGUCGUCAUGAUCGUCGUGGCAGACCUGAUGGUGUGUUCUCUAAUCACUUCAUACCUCAAGGUUGGUGGGAAGGAAAUAUGUAACUAGUUGACUGCCAUCUUCCGUCUUUUCCCCUAGUUGAAGUCUCAAGAUGAGGAAGACUCGCCCUCUUCGAGAAAAAGAAGAAUGGAUGAGGAUCGAGAUGGGGAUAUCGGCACCUCCUCAGGUUUUAUGUUCAAUUUACUAUCAUUCAUCUCUUGUAUAUAUCCCUCUUUUUCUCCUUCAAUUUUCCUCUCUUAAAACAUUGCUUGGCUAUG